UGAGGAAUAUUGGUCAAUGGGCGAGAGCCUGAACCAGCCAAGUCGCGUGAGGGAAGACGGUCCUACGGAUUGUAAACCUCUUUUGUCGGGGAGUAAUAGGCGGGACGUGUCCUGCUGUGAGAGUACCCGAAGAAAAAGCAUCGGCUAACUCCGUGCCAGCAGCCGCGGUAAUACGGAGGAUGCAAGCGUUAUCCGGAAUUAUUGGGUUUAAAGGGUGCGUAGGCUGUUUUGCAAGCCAGGGGUGAAAGCCCGGAGCUCAACUCCGGAACUGCCUUUGAUACUGCGAGGCUGGAAUACGGAUGCCGUGGGAGGAAUGAGUAGUGUAGCGGUGAAAUGCAUAGAUAUUACUCAGAACACCGAUUGCGAAGGCAUCUCACGAAUCCGUCAUUGACGCUGAGGCACGAAAGCGUGGGG
rnacentral:rRNA from 1 species